CCCAAGAGAUCGGGAUAACACCUGGAAACAGAUGCUAAUACCGGAUAACAACAGAUGAUGCCUAUCAACUGUUUAAAAGAUGGUUCUGCUAUCACUCUUGGAUGGACCUGCGGUGCAUUAGCUAGUUGGUAGGGUAACGGCCUGCCAAGGCGAUGAUGCAUAGCCGAGUUGAGAGACUGAUCGGCCACAUUGGGACUGAGACACGGCCCAAACUCCUACGGGAGGCAGCAGAU
rnacentral:rRNA from 1 species